ACUCCUACGGGAGGCAGCAGUGGGGAAUAUUGCACAAUGGGGGAAACCCUGAUGCAGCCAUGCCGCGUGUGUGAAGAAGGCCUUCGGUUGUAAAGCACUUUCAGUAGGGAGGAAGGUAGUGUAGUUAACACCUGCAUUAUUUGUACGUUACCUACAGAAGAAGCACCGGCUAACUCCGUGCCAGCAGCCGCGGUAAUACGGAGGGUGCGAGCGUUAAUCGGAAUUACUGGGCGUAAAGCGCAUGCAGGCGGCCUGUUAAGUCAGAUGUGAAAGCCCGGGGCUUAACCUCGGAAUUGCAUUUGAAACUGGCAGGCUAGAGUCUUGUAGAGGGGUUAGAAUUUCAGGUGUAGCGGUGAAAUGCGUAGAGAUCUGAAGG
rnacentral:rRNA from 1 species